rnacentral:rRNA from 1 species
CUUGCAAACCAAAGCUGGCGACCGGCGCACGGGUGAGUAACACGUAUCCAACCUGCCUCAUACUCGGGGAUAGCCUUUCGAAAGAAAGAUUAAUAUCCGAUAGCAUAUAUUUCCCGCAUGGGUUUUAUAUUAAAGAAAUUCGGUAUGAGAUGGGGAUGCGUUCCAUUAGUUUGUUGGCGGGGUAACGGCCCACCAAGACUACGAUGGAUAGGGGUUCUGAGAGGAGGGUCCCCCACAUUGGAACUGAGACACGGUCCAAACUCCUACGGGAGGCAGCAGUGAGGAAUAUUGGUCAAUGGACGCGAGUCUGAACCAGCCAAGUAGCGUGAAGGAUGACUGCCCUAUGGGUUGUAAACUUCUUUUAUAUGGGAAUAAAGUGGUCCACGUGUGGAUUUUUGUAUGUACCAUAUGAAUAAGGAUCGGCUAACUCCGUGCCAGCAGCCGCGGUAAUACGGAGGAUCCGAGCGUUAUCCGGAUUUAUUGGGUUUAAAGGGAGCGUAGGCGGAUUGUUAAGUCAGUUGUGAAAGUUUGCGGCUCAACCGUAAAAUUGCAGUUGAUACUGGCAGUCUUGAGUGCAGUAGAGGUGGGCGGAAUUCGUGGUGUAGCGGUGAAAUGCUUAGAUAUCACGAAGAACUCCGAUUGCGAAGGCAGCUCACUGGAGUGUAACUGACGCUGAUGCUCGAAAGUGUGGGUA